UGGGGAAUUUUGGACAAUGGGGGAAACCCUGAUCCAGCCAUCCCGCGUGUGCGAUGAAGGCCUUCGGGUUGUAAAGCACUUUUGGCAGGAAAGAAACGUCGCGGGUUAAUACCCCGCGGAACUGACGGUACCUGCAGAAUAAGCACCGGCUAACUACGUGCCAGCAGCCGCGGUAAUACGUAGGGUGCAAGCGUUAAUCGGAAUUACUGGGCGUAAAGCGUGCGCAGGCGGUUCGGAAAGAAGGAUGUGAAAUCCCAGAGCUUAACUUUGGAACUGCAUUUUUAACUACCGGGCUAGAGUGUGUCAGAGGGAGGUGGAAUUCCGCGUGUAGCAGUGAAAUGCGUAGAUAUGCGGAGGAACACCGAUGGCGAAGGCAGCCUCCUGGGAUAACACUGACGCUCAUGCACGAAAGCGUGGGGAGCAAACAGGAUUAGAUACCCUGGUAGUCCACGCCCUAAACGAUGUCAACUAGCUGUUGGGGUCUUCGGACCUUGGUAGCGCAGCUAACGCGUGAAGUUGACCGCCUGGGGAGUACGGUC
rnacentral:rRNA from 1 species